ensembl:lincRNA
CUCUCCUUAGAUCUUGCACCACUGUGGCUGCCCUGGAGUCUCCAAGCCUACUCUGUCUUGGGAGGCCGCCCGAGUUGUGCAUCUUUCAUUGCUUGAUGAAACUCCUUUAAAUUUAAUUCGGCUGAAGUUUUUCUUUUAUCCUGUGUAAUGACAAAAUAUCCAGUUGGAAAAGGGAAAAAAUGACGAUCCUCAAGAAGGUGGUUCGGGCAACACCAAGCCUCCAGCAGUGGGAAGAUCAACAUCAAGGUACACACGUUAUUGUAAUGGCCUGGAUGAUCCUUGCUUUGCUGUUCACACGGAGCAGAACCAGGGCUGAUCCUGCGGACGUGCUGCCCCCUGGUGGAAAUAAGAAGACUUGCGUGGUCAGCCAAAUGAAAGAAAACAGUCACCAUGUUAAGAGCUCAGUUAGCCGUCCUCAUUGCAUUUAUUUAAUGACCUGAUAGAUGAAAAGAAAACUAUGAAGGAGACGGAGAAGGAACAGCUCGAGGAAAACCCUCACAGAGCCUAGGGCAGUGAUGAGCAUAGAGUAGCUCCCAGCAAAUAUUUGUUCAUUGAUGGAAAGGAUAAGCUUAGGUGCUGUAGAUGUUGAUUCACAGACACUGGGAGGUGGAGCUUGGUGCUGGCAUCCACAGUGAACUGAGUGAUUCUUCACAAACACCGAGAAUCCUGCUGACUCUUGAGUUUUUUUAAUAUUCACUUUCAGCAAUUGAUUAAUCCACCCAGCACUGUUAGAGGGGUGUGUGGCUUCUCUCCAUCAGCUUUUUGAGUUACAGCAUUGAAAGGGCCAGCCAUUUUCCACUCAAAGGGAGUUUAAAAGUGUAGGGAUAAAAUAUACACUAUCGACAAGCACAAUCUAUGCCCUAAAAACCUAGAUUGAACCAGGCAUCAAUAUUUGAUGCGAAGUAGCAGUUUCACUCAGGUUCCUUCCAAGAUGAAGAAAAUAACAUGCUUUGCUGAAAGGGGCAAACCAGGGAGCUGAGAAUUUAGUGGGAAGAUAAUGCAAUUAUAGGUCAGGAUAGACACGUUUGCCAAUCUUCCUGCAAAGUUUGAAAGAUUUACGACCUCUAGCUAUACCUGUUCCUAAUUUACUUGUCACAAAUAAGACUGGCACUUUUGCCCAGCAGAGAGGCUGUUAAUGAAUGGAGAAGCAAGGCAGACUGCUAGCAGGUACUGCACCUUUGGAGCUCUGAAACGAUCUUUAGGCCCUUUUUCCAGUGAAGACUUGAGAAGAAACACACUAGUAAACCUUACAUAGAGGGCUUGCCUACAGAGUAAAUGUAACAAGUUUCUUUGGAGUGUGACCAAAAGGAAAAAAAUUUCGUUUAACUUUCAGAAAAAAUAAAGGAAGACCCUGCAUUAAAGCCACUCUGUGUGUUAUGGGGACAACGAAGUUUAAUAUAAGAAUUAGGGUUUCUAUGAAGGAACAAGAGCUGGGGGAGUGAAACCAGCUGGAAGGUCAUGGAAACAGCUGGAAGGUCAGACUGAACACCUAAGCGGGUGGUUCUCUAACAUUUGCCAGGAAACUGCUGCAAUUUUCAAUUUUCAAGAAACUCUGGAAAAACUCCUACCAAACCUGGUGCUUGACAAGAAGCCUAGAAGCCACUGUGAACCUUCUGUAUGCUGUGGCCGCCAUGACCUGAGGAGAAUUGCCUCUCUUCACUCUCUUCCCAAGCUCAGGCAAGUUUCUCUCAUUGGAAAAUUGAACUCAACCUGUAAAAGGCAGGAGAUUCUAGGAAAGGAAGAUCCAGUGAGAAGCAGAUGAAAGUGAUGUAAAGCUGACAACUAACAACACAGCACAACCUCAAAGCACCUAAAUUCCUACAUUUGCCUCCUCAUUAUGUAACCGCCCAAUGGGUUCACCUUGUCCGCAGCCUAGACAGAGCUGAUUUAUCAAGACAGGGGAAUUGCAAUAGAGAAAUAAUAAUUCACACAGAGCUGACUGUGGAGGAGACCUGAGUUUUAUUAUUACUCAAAUCAGUCUCCCCAGAAACUUGGGGAUCAGGGUUUUUAAGGAUAAUUUGGUGGGCAGGCCAGUGAAUCCGGAGUGUUGAUUGGUUGGCCCAGGGAUGAAACUGUAGGGAGGUCAAAGCUGUUCUCUUAUGCUGAGUCAGUUCCUGGGUGGGGCCACAGAACUGGUUGGCAGGUCCAGGUGGGGCCAUUCAGUUGUUAGAAAUGCAAAAACUGGAAAAGACAUCUCAAAAGGCGGAUCCUAGGUUCACAAUAGUGAUGUUACCUUCAAGAGUAAGUUGGGAAGUUGCAAAUCUUAUAACCUUCGGAAUAAUGGCUGGUAAUAUUUAGAAUUCCAGCCCCUCUUAUUCUAACUUGGUGGCUGGUAGCUUUUCAUUUGUUUUACAGGGACAGUUUAGCUUUAAACUAUAAACUAAAUUCCUUCCCAAGGCUAGUUCAGACUACGCCCAGGAAUGAGCAAGGACUGUUUAGAGAUUGGAAGCAAGAUGGGGUCAGUUAAGUCUGAUAUCUUUCACUGUCAUAAUUUUCUCAGUUAUAAUUUUGCAAAGGCAGUUUCAAUUAUGUGGGACACAUUGUUCCUUCAUGCACUCAAUAAAUAGUACUUGCGGUGUGUCAGGAAUUGGGUUAGGAGUUAGGGGCGGAUUUAACUAUGUAGAAGACUUUAUUCCUGCCCCAUGUGAGCUGACAUUGAACUGAAAGGGGGAAAUGGUUUGAAUACACAAGCCGUGAUAAUACGCGGACAUUUUUAGGGCUGUUCACAAAUAUUCUGGUUCUCCUCCAGGCACAUGCUAAGAUUGUACUUCCCCACCUACUUUGAAAUUUGAAGAGACCAUAUGACUUGCUUUGGUCCACAAAGUGUGGGCAGAAGUGAUAUGUGUAAUUUACAUUUGGAAGGUUUAGGAAUGAUCCAUGAUUCACCAUGCUGUCUUCCCCCUGCCAUGAUCAAUCUGUUGAGAUGAAGCUUGGGUCAGCCUUAGUCCCAAGAGGCUAAGCAGAGCCCCCAGCUGACCUGCAAUAGAUAUGCAAUAUGAUUGGGAAAGAAAUCUGUGUAAUAAGCCAAUAAGAGUUUGGAGUUAUUUGUUGUCACAGCAAAAGUAGCCCAUCCUGACUGACCUAUAACAAGAGUGAAAACAAUGUGCAGUGCUGGGGUCCCUGGGGGAGGGGAGGAACUGUUUCCAGAUUGCCUUGUACACUGGUUAAUCAUUCACCACGUGUGGCUUUGGCUUAGCUUGCUCUCUGGAGAAGAUCAAAGAAAACAGAUAAGCUAGGGAGAUAGAGCAGUGGGCAAAACAGACCACAAGUAUCAAUCCAUCUUUCUAAUGCUAUCAGAACAUCUCCUUUCUCCCCCAUUGUUUUCAGCAUGCACUGCGCCCGCCUCUUGCUUUGAGUUUAGAUGACGGUGAACUGAUCACCACAAAAUUGGUGAGGAUAGAAUAACAGUGGGUGGGUGUUUUAAAAAUUGUUUCUAACAUGAUAAUCAGAAACAAGAACAAAACUAAAGAAAAGAAAUGAUCAGAAUAGAGAUCCAUAAGGCCCUAAGGAUUUACUAUCCCAUUUUUAGACAGGUCACAGGUUAUUUCAGGGGAAUUGAUAGGGCUCUAGCUUGGUGUAUCAGUCAGACCUACUUGUAGUGGGCAGGAAUCAAGCACAAAACAGCUGAGCUAGCACUUUAUAACAAGAUGAUGGUUUAAAAACAUUUUUUUAAGCUUAUACAUGCUUUCUUUUCUUUUUUUUUUUCUUUUCUUUUUCUUUUUGAAACAGUUCUUGUUCUGUCGCCCAGGCUGGAGUGCAGUGGCACAAUCUUGGUUCACUACAACCUCUGCCUCCUGGGUUCAAGCAAUUCUCCUGCUUUAGCCUCCUGAGUAGCUGGGAUUACAGGUGUGCACCAUGAUGCCUG